GUGGCUGAGAAACGGUGUGGGUUACACCACAAAGAGCUGGUGCUGUACUGCGUGAAGGACGAGGAGACCGUCUGCGUCGACUGUGUAACGCUGCAUAGAGGCCACGAACUGAGUACUCUGGAACAGAGCGCACCUUACUGCAAGGAGGAACUGGACAUUAAAUUGCGUGUCUUGGAAGAGAAAAUGCAAUUCUUUAAAAUAAUUAGUCACAAA